GACGAACGCUGGCGGCGUGCCUAAUACAUGCAAGUCGAACGAACCGCGACUAAGUGCUUGCUCUAAGUCAAGGUGAGUGGCGAACGGGUGAGUAACACGUGGGUAACCUACCUCAUAGUGGGGGAUAACAGUCGGAAACGACUGCUAAUACCGCAUAGGACAUAGGAUCACAUGAUCCAGUGAGGAAAGGUGGCGCAAGCUAUCGCUAAGAGAGGGACCCGCGGUGCAUUAGCUAGUUGGUAGGGUAAAGGCCUACCAAGGCGAUGAUGCAUAGCCGACCUGAGAGGGUGAUCGGCCACAUUGGGACUGAGACACGGCCCAAACUCCUACGGGAGGCAGCAGUAGGGAAUCUUCCGCAAUGGACGAAAGUCUGACGGAGCAACGCCGCGUGAGUGAAGAAGGUCUUCGGAUCGUAAAGCUCUGUUGUUAGAGAAGAACAGCGCAUAGAGUAACUGCUAUGCGUGUGACGGUAUCUAACCAGAAAGCCACGGCUAACUACGUG
rnacentral:rRNA from 1 species